rnacentral:rRNA from 1 species
CUCGGAUCAGGUAGGAAUACCC